GGUCCGGUAGUUCAGCUGGUUAGAAUGCCUGCCUGUCACGCAGGAGGUCGCGGGUUCGAGUCCCGUCCUGGACCGCCA
rnacentral:tRNA from 1 species